rnacentral:rRNA from 1 species
AUUGAACGCUGGCGGCAGGCUUAACACAUGCAAGUCGAGCGGAGCGAGGGUGCUUGCACCUUAGCUUAGCGGCGGACGGGUGAGUAAUGCUUAGGAAUCUGCCUAUUAGUGGGGGACAACAUUCCGAAAGGAAUGCUAAUACCGCAUACGCCCUACGGGGGAAAGCAGGGGAUCUUCGGACCUUGCGCUAAUAGAUGAGCCUAAGUCGGAUUAGCUAGUUGGUGGGGUAAAGGCCUACCAAGGCGACGAUCUGUAGCGGGUCUGAGAGGAUGAUCCGCCACACUGGGACUGAGACACGGCCCAGACUCCUACGGGAGGCAGCAGUGGGGAAUAUUGGACAAUGGGCGGAAGCCUGAUCCAGCCAUGCCGCGUGUGUGAAGAAGGCCUUUUGGUUGUAAAGCACUUUAAGCGAGGAGGAGGCUACUGGUACUAAUACUACUGGAUAGUGGACGUUACUCGCAGAAUAAGCACCGGCUAACUCUGUGCCAGCAGCCGCCGUAAGAC